CAAGUCUGAGGCAGGGCCUAAAACUCUGCAAUUCCAGCUACAUCUCAGCUGACGCCGAGGCUGGAAAUCUAUGGAUCAUAGUUUGGGAGUAAGCAAGAAGGCCCUCUCCAUCUGCUGGUGCCAUGUGCUUGGGCAUCCCAGCCUCCUGAACGGUGUUUCCUGUAGGAUCUAACAUCCCAGACUGGAGGGUGGUGGCUGGGCCCUUGGGGAGACUUUGAUCCUUGUCCUGAACUCUCCUGGACUCUAGGACCAGGCUCCAUGGUAGCUAAUUUCCCAUCCCCUCCAUGUUCCAGCUCUGGGAGAAGUGUGACAAAGGCUUCCAAGGGGCUGUCUGCUUGCGGCCCGAUCUUUCACAUGGAUUCUCUUGAGCAGGGAGCCCUCCCUCCUGAGAGCUCUCUGCCCUCAGAGAGGAUCAACCCAGCUGACGCUUUGAGUACGAGCUUCCGGCCUCCAGAACGAGGAGUCUUGCUGUUGUCAGAGUCUUGAUGGAAUUCCUUGAAAAUGAGGGCAUCAUCUUGUGGGUAAGAUCUGAGCAGGCUGCUCAUGCCAGG
ensembl:lncRNA